rnacentral:rRNA from 1 species
UACGUAGGUGGCAAGCGUUGUCCGGAGUUAUUGGGCGUAAAGCGCGCGCAGGCGGUUGGAUAAGUCCAUGGUGAAAGCGCCUGGCUCAACUAGGCGAGUGCCGUGGGGACUGUUCAGCUGGAGUGGAGCAGAGGCGAGUGGAAUUCCGGGUGUAGUGGUGAAAUGCGUAGAGAUCCGGAGGAACACCAGAGGCGAAGGCGGCUCGCUGGGCUUUGGACUGACGCGUGAGGCGCGAAAGCGUGGG